UCCGGUUUGGCACCGGCAGUCCUCCCAGAGUCCUCGGCAUGACCCGGUAGCAACUGGGAGCGGGGGUUGCGCUCGUUGCGGGACUUAACCCAACAUCUCACGACACGAGCUGACGACAGCCAUGCAGCACCUGUCUAGCGGUCCCGAAGGAGGGUCCCGGUUUCUCGAGACUUUCCCCUAGAUGUCAAGCCCAGGUAAGGUUCUUCGCGUUGCGUCGAAUUAAACCACAUGCUCCACCGCUUGUGCGGGCCCCCGUCAAUUCCUUUGAGUUUCAAUCUUGCGAUCGUACUUCCCAGGUGGGAUACUUAAUGCUUUCGCUCAGACACUUGCUGUGUAUCGCAAAUGUCGAGUAUCCAUAGUUUAGGGCGUGGACUAC
rnacentral:misc_RNA from 1 species